UACGGGGGGGGCAAGCGUUGUUCGGAAUUACUGGGCGUAAAGGGCUCGUAGGUGGCCAACUAAGUCGGACGUGAAAUCCCUCAGCUUAACUGGGGAACUGCGUCCGAUACUGGAUGGCUUGAGUUUGGGAGAGGGAUGCGGAAUUCCAGGUGUAGCGGUGAAAUGCGUAGAUAUCAGGAAGAACACCAAUGGCGAAAGCAGCUCUCUGGGACGGUACUGACGCUGAGACGCGAAAGCGUGGGGAGCGAACAGG
rnacentral:rRNA from 1 species